UGUCCCGUACGCCGCCCCCAUGCCUGCGAGCCACACACAUACACAGAGGGAGAUCAUGUCAUUCACCACCAAAAAUUUCGCCCUCACACGUCCCAGCCACAUGGAUCCAACCCAAAUUCUCUCAAUUGAUGUUCCAUUUAUUUCUCAAAACAUAUCAAAUAACACAAUGGUCUGGCGCGCGUCAAGUAUCGCACCGCCAAUCUCUGAAUCGUGGCAGAUCGGACUACGGAGCAAAGGACGGGAUCGGCUCCAACCUUUUCCCCACUCAAAUUCGGAAAGAAACAAUGCAACCGAAAGUAUAACACGUGAGGACGAGGAGGCGGCGCACGUACAUGAGAAGACGAGCGCAGCGGAG
rnacentral:misc_RNA from 1 species